rnacentral:rRNA from 1 species
CCGCGGUAAUACGGAGGAUCCGGGCGUUAUCCGGAAUUACUGGGUUUAAAGGGUGCGUAGGCGGGGCUUUAAGCCGGCGGUGAAAUGCAGCGGCUCAACCGCUGGAAUGCCGUUGGGACUGGGGCUCUUGGAUACGGUCGGGGCGGGUGGAACUCGUGGUGUAGCGGUGAAAUGCAUAGAUAUCACGAGGAACGCCGGUAGCGAAGGCAGCUCGCCGGGCCGGUAUUGACGCUGAGGCACGAAAGCGUGGGGAUCGAACAG